CCUAGGGGGGCUCCAGUGAGGAAUAUUGCACAAUGGGGGGAACCCUGAUGCAGCAACGCCGCGUGGAGGAUGACGCAUUUCGGUGUGUAAACUCCUUUUAUAUGUCAAGAAAAUGACGGUAGCAUAUGAAUAAGCACCGGCUAACUCCGUGCCAGCAGCCGCGGUAAUACGGAGGGUGCAAGCGUUACCCGGAAUCACUGGGCGUAAAGGACGCGUAGGCGGGUUGGAAAGUCAGGUGUGAAAUCCUACAGCUUAACUGUAGAACUGCACUUGAAACUUCUAAUCUAGAGUAUGGGAGGGGGAGAUGGAAUUAGUGGUGUAGGGGUAAAAUCCGUAGAUAUCACUAGGAAUACCUAAAGCGAAGGCGAUCUCCUGGAACAUUACUGACGCUAAGGCGUGAAAGCGUGGGGAGCAAACAGGAUUAGAUACCCGCGUAGUC
rnacentral:rRNA from 1 species